CCAGGGGUGACGGAGUGGCCAAUCGUAACAGUCUGUAAAACUGUCGGGAUUUUCCCUGCGGAGGUUCGAAUCCUCCCCCCUGGACAA
rnacentral:tRNA from 3 species